rnacentral:rRNA from 1 species
UACGUAGGGUGCAAGCGUUGUCCGGAAUUAUUGGGCGUAAAGAGCUCGUAGGCGGUCUGUCGCGUCGGCUGUGAAAACUCGGGGCUCAACUCCGAGCUUGCAGUCGAUACGGGCAGGCUAGAGUUCGGCAGGGGAGACUGGAAUUCCUGGUGUAGCGGUGAAAUGCGCAGAUAUCAGGAGGAACACCGGUGGCGAAGGCGGGUCUCUGGGCCGAUACUGACGCUGGGGAGCGAAAGCGUGGGGAGCGAACAGG